rnacentral:rRNA from 1 species
GUGGGGAAUAUUGGGCAAUGGGGGAAACCCUGACCCAGCAACGCCGCGUGAAGGAAGAAGGCUUUCGGGUUGUAAACUUCUUUGACAGGGGACGAAACAAAUGACGGUACCCUGAAAACAAGCCACGGCUAACUACGUGCCAGCAGCCGCGGUAAUACGUAGGUGGCAAGCGUUGUCCGGAUUUACUGGGUGUAAAGGGCGCGUAGGCGGACUGGCAAGUCAGAUGUGAAAUCCAUGAGCUCAACUCAUGAACUGCAUUUGAAACUGUUGGUCUUGAGUAUCGGAGAGGCAAGCGGAAUUCCUAGUGUAGCGGUGAAAUGCGUAGAUAUUAGGAGGAACACCAGUGGCGAAGGCGGCUUGCUGGACGACAACUGACGCUGAGGCGCGAAAGCGUGGGGAGCAAACAGGAUUAGAAACCCGAUAGUCC